rnacentral:tRNA from 1 species
GUUACUGUGCAACUCAGUUUAAUUUGAUUAAUUAAUUAAUUACUUAUUUUUUAUAUGUGUUUAUAU